CUUAACAUCUAACUGGUCAAGUUCCCAUCCAAAUUGAGCAACUAAGGCAAGUAAACAUCUAAUUGUAGUGUAUUUAGCUACAGGAGAAAAUAUUUCAGUGUAAUCUACACCUUCCUUUUGUGUGAACCCUUUUGCAACUAACUGAGCUUUAUACCUAAGACUAUUAUUUUCCCCCUCAACUUCUGUUAUCUUAUAAAUCUAUUUACAGUCUAUAAACUUUUGACCUUUUGGCUUCUCAAGUAAUUUUCAGUUUUAUUUUUAAGAAAUGAACUCAUUUCAUCUUCCAUAGCUGCUAUCCAAUGCUUAGAUUCUUUGCAGUUUAUGGCAUCUUCGUAAGUGUUAGGCUCAUUUUCAGUUUGUUCUUGAUAGGUAAAUAAUGAAACAAAAUCAUCAAAAUCAUAG
rnacentral:lncRNA from 1 species